UACGUAGGUCCCGAGCGUUGUCCGGAUUUAUUGGGCGUAAAGCGAGCGCAGGUAGUUUAAUAAGUCUGAUGUAAAAGGCAGUGGCUCAACCAUUGUGUGCAUUGGAAACUGUUAGACUUGAGUGCAGUAGAGGAGAGUGGAAUUCCAUGUGUAGCGGUGAAAUGCGUAGAUAUAUGGAGGAACACCGGUGGCGAAAGCGGCUCUCUGGACUGUAACUGACACUGAGGCUCGAAAGCGUGGGUAGCAAACAGG
rnacentral:rRNA from 1 species